GGGAGGCAGCAGUAGGGAAUUUUCGGCAAUGGGGGAAACCCUGACCGAGCAACGCCGCGUGAGUGAAGAAGGCCUUCGGGUUGUAAAGCUCUGUUGUAAGGGAAGAAGAGAUCAUAAUAGGGAAUGCUAUGAUUGUGACGGUACCUUACCAGAAAGCCACGGCUAACUACGUGCCAGCAGCCGCGGUAAU
rnacentral:rRNA from 1 species